rnacentral:rRNA from 1 species
CCUACGGGUGGCAGCAGUGAGGAAUAUUGGUCAAUGGACGAGAGUCUGAACCAGCCAAGUCGCGUGAAGGAUGACUGCCCUAUGGGUUGUAAACUUCUUUUAUCAAGGAAUAAAACGAGGCACGUGUGCCGUUUUGCGUGUACUUGAUGAAUAAGGAUCGGCUAACUCCGUGCCAGCAGCCGCGGUAAUACGGAGGAUCCGAGCGUUAUCCGGAUUUAUUGGGUUUAAAGGGAGCGUAGAUGGGUUGUUAAGUCAGUUGUGAAAGUUUGGGGCUCAACCGUAAAAUAGCAAUUGAUACUGGCAGUCUUGAGUACAGUAGAGGUACGCGGAAUUCGUGGUGUAGCGGUGAAAUGCUUAGAUAUCGCGAAGAACCCCGAUUGCGAAGGCAGCGUAC